rnacentral:lncRNA from 1 species
UCACGGUUACUUUUCAGUUAAUAGUCAUCUUCCAUAUGAACAAGAGUGGAGAUAACUAGUUUAUAUCACUUUUCCUUGCUAAUGCAGGACCAAAUGCAUAUAUAGUUCAAAGGUGUCUAAUCUAAGUCUAACUGGCAAAUGAAAAGCAGAACCACUUUGGCCUAUUUUGUUUAUGAGGAUAUUUUCUUUUUUAGAGAAUUAAUGGAAAGGACAAUCAAUAAUGCUAA